CCUACGGGAGGCAGCAGUGGGGAAUCUUGGACAAUGGGGGCAACCCUGAUCCAGCCAUGCCGCGUGAGUGAUGAAGGCCUUAGGGUCGUAAAGCUCUUUCGCCUGUGAUGAUAAUGACAGUAGCAGGUAAAGAAACCCCGGCUAACUCCGUGCCAGCAGCCGCGGUAAUACGGAGGGGGUUAGCGUUGUUCGGAAUUACUGGGCGUAAAGCGCGCGUAGGCGGAUUAGUCAGUUAGAGGUGAAAUCCCAGGGCUCAACCCUGGAACUGCCUUUAAUACUGCUAGUCUUGAGUUCGAGAGAGGUGAGUGGAAUUCCGAGUGUAGAGGUGAAAUUCGUAGAUAUUCGGAGGAACACCAGUGGCGAAGGCGGCUCACUGGCUCGAUACUGACGCUGAGGUGCGAAAGUGUGGGGAGCAAACAGGAUUAGAUACCCUGGUAGUCCACACCGUAAACGAUGAAUGCCAGUCGUCGGGAUGCUUGCAUCUCGGUGACACACCUAACGGAUUAAGCAUUCCGCCUGGGGAGUACGGUCGCAAGAUUAAAACUCAAAGGAAUUGACGGGG
rnacentral:rRNA from 1 species